GGGGAUGUGGCUCAGUGGUAGAGUGUCUGCCUGGCAUGGACAAGGCCCUGGGUUUGAUCCCCAGUACACACA
rnacentral:tRNA from 1 species